UCCUACGGGAGGCAGCAGUGGGGAAUCUUGCGCAAUGGGCGAAAGCCUGACGCAGCGACGCCGCGUGGGGGAAGAAGGCUUUAGGGUUGUAAACCUCUUUCAGGUGGGACGAAGCCACUCGGGUGAAUAGCCCAGAGGGUGACGGUACCACCAGAAGAAGCCCCGGCUAACUACGUGCCAGCAGCCGCGGUAAUACGUAGGGGGCAAGCGUUGUCCGGAUUUAUUGGGCGUAAAGAGCGUGUAGGCGGUCAGGUAGGUGGGUUGUGAAAACUGGAGGCUCAACCUUCAGACGUCGACCCAAACCCCCUGGCUAGAGUCCGGAAGAGGAGAGUGGAAUUCCUGGUGUAGCGGUGAAAUGCGCAGAUAUCAGGAAGAACACCCGUGGCGAAGGCGGCUCUCUGGGACGGUACUGACGCUGAGACGCGAAAGCGUGGGGAGCGAACAGGAUUAGAUACCCUGGUAGUCCACGCCGUAAACGAUGGGUGCUAGGUGUGGGGGGUGUCGACUCCCUCCGUGCCGAAGCUAACGCAUUAAGCACCCCGCCUGGGGAGUACGGCCGCAAGGCUAAACUCAAAGGAAUUGACGGGGGCCCGCACAAGCAGCGGAGCAUGUGGUUUAAUUCGACGCAACGCGAAGAACCUUACCAAGGCUUGACAUGCACUUGAAAAGCGUGGAAACACGCUCCCUCUUCGGAGCAAGUGCACAGGUGGUGCAUGGCUGUCGUCAGCUCGUGUCGUGAGAUGUUGGGUUAAGUCCCGCAACGAGCGCAACCCUCGCCCUUAGUUGCCAUCAUUUAGUUGGGCACUCUAAGGGGACUGCCGGUGAUAAGCCGCGAGGAAGGUGGGGAUGACGUCAAGUCCUCAUGGCCCUUACGGGCUGGGCUACACACGUGCUACAAUGGCGGUGACAGUGGGACGCAAUGGAGCAAUCCUGCGCAAAUCUCAAAAAGCCGUCUCAGUUCGGAUUGGGGUCUGCAACUCGACCCCAUGAAGUCGGAAUCGCUAGUAAUCGCAGAUCAGCA
rnacentral:rRNA from 1 species